UACGAAGGGUGCAAGCGUUAAUCGGAAUUACUGGGCGUAAAGCGUGCGCAGGCGGUUUUGUAAGCCAGAUGUGAAAGCCCUGGGCUCAACCUGGGAAUUGCAGUGGAUACUGGAUCACUAGAGUGUGGUAGAGGGAUGCGGAAUUUCUGGUGUAGCAGCGAAAUGCGUAGAGAUCAGAAGGAACAUCCGUGGCGAAGGCGGCAUCCUGGGCCAACACUGACACUGAGGCACGAAAGCGUGGGGAGCAAACAGGAUUAGAUACCCUGGUAGU
rnacentral:rRNA from 1 species